rnacentral:rRNA from 1 species
ACACUCCUGCGGGAGGCAGCAGUGGGGAAUAUUGGACAAUGGGCGCAAGCCUGAUCCAGCCAUGCCGCGUGAGUGAUGAAGGCCCUAGGGUUGUAAAGCUCUUUCACCGGUGAAGAUAAUGACGGUAACCGGAGAAGAAGCCCCGACUAACUUCGUGCCAGCAGCCGCGGUAAUACGAAGGGGGCUAGCGUUGUUCGGAUUUACUGGGCGUAAAGCGCACGUAGGCGGACUAUUAAGUCAGGGGUGAAAUCCCGGGGCUCAACCCCGGAACUGCCUUUGAUACUGGUAGUCUUGAGUUCGAGAGAGGUGAGUGGAAUUCCGAGUGUAGAGGUGAAAUUCGUAGAUAUUCGGAGGAACACCAGUGGCGAAGGCGGCUCACUGGCUCGAUACUGACGCUGAGGUGCGAAAGCGUGGGGAGCAAACAGGAUUAGAUACCCUAGUAGUCCCA